rnacentral:misc_RNA from 1 species
GUUUUAUAUAACCAAAAUAGUGCCUAAAAAUUUGAUUCAAGUAUAGAAGACUAGAACUAGAAGAUCAUUCAUCUAAAGCAUCCUAGUCCAUGAACCUAAAAAUGGGAAAACAGCAAUUAACAAUCUCAACAACAAGGGAGUAUCACUUUUCUUCUCUCUCCAACUCAAUUUACCCUUCUCCAUUGAUGUGCUGCUUUGUUUUUUG